UACGUAGGGUGCAAGCGUUGUCCGGAAUUAUUGGGCGUAAAGAGCUCGUAGGCGGUCUGUCGCGUCGGCUGUGAAAAACCCGGAGCUCAACUCCGGGCCUGCAGUCGAUACGGGCAAACUGGAGUGUUGCAGGGGAGACUGGAAUUCCUGGUGUAGCGGUGAAAUGCGCAGAUAUCAGGAGGAACACCGGUGGCGAAGGCGGGUCUCUGGGCAACACUACGUGAGGAG
rnacentral:rRNA from 1 species